CCCCCAGAAAAUUUUGGAUUUUUUGAAGCUCAGAUAAGCUAUUUCCAGCAUUUUGAGGAGUUUUCCAACAAGAAAUUAACCUGAUCUUCUGGGACUGGUCAAAUCGAUCCCUGCAACCAUGCUGUUUUGCAACAUUUUUUUUCCCACCAAAUGCUGGGGCAGGAUAUUUUUUUCCCCAGUUUGUUAGUGCAGGUAUUUUUUUUUGUCCAGAAUAGCC
rnacentral:lncRNA from 1 species